UAGCAGAGGUCUCAAGCGUUUGUUCGGAUUCAUUGGGGCGUAAAGGGUGCGUAGGCGGCGCGGUAAGUCGGGUGUGAAAUCUCGGAGCUUAACUCCGAAACUGCAUUCGAUACUGCCGUGCUUGAGGACUGGAGAGGAGACUGGAAUUUACGGUGUAGCGGUGAAAUGCGUAGAUAUCGUGAAGGAAGACCAGUGGCGAAGGCGGGUCUCUGGGCCGAUACUGACGCUGGAGGAGCGAAAGCGUGGGGAGCGAACAGG
rnacentral:rRNA from 1 species